CGAGGAAAGCUGAGGAGAGCUGGUCAGUGGACUGUUCUCACAUUUUCCAAGAGAUCGAACCUCCUCUGCCUAAUGUUGUGAGUAUUUGUACUAGUUAAGACUAGAACAACUGUGAGCAUUAUGGCUAUGGUCAUAUUCAAUCCUAUCUGUUUCUCUCUGCCACUGUUUUCAGACACAUUCGCAUAUACACCUGCACACAUUGAAUGAUAUACAUGGGUCAAAGACCAGAUGUUUCUACUCUGGUACCUGUCUGUCAUGGGGUUCAUCAUCAACAUUGAUACCCUCAUGUUGUUGAUUCCUGAGCUGCUUAAAUUUCAGCGAUAUGUCUGCACCUAUCAAUUUAGCCAGGAUCACUUGGAGCCCCUCUUCAAUUCUAUCAGGGCAUCAGGAGGCUGGAAUAGCAAUCCUACUGCAGGCCAGUUCCAGGGCAUUUUCCGCCAUCUCAUGGUCCGGUGCGGUGUCUCACCAAGCAUUUCAGGAAAUGUGGUAGAACAGAAUGAGACCGUGUCUCUGGCAGCAGAAGAAUCUGAAGACCUUCCACCCCCAUUUGUAAACAUCUCUGCACUUGUGUGUGAUCACAGCUACCUGCCAACCCGUCUUGGGAGCCUUGUGGACAAUGCCCUUGUGUACAUUUCAGGGUUUGUUGUUCGUCAGAUUUUGAGGAAGCUGUCCUGUGCUGUGUGUCGUGCUAGCUUGGUGACAGAUGCUGUAUCUGCGUCAUUUGAUCAGAGCUACCACUUGCUUACACUGAAAAACAAUGGAGGACUGAUGAUUCCUUUUGAAGUGGCAACUCGAGAAAAAAGGUCUGGAAAGCCGUUUUGUUCAAAGGGUUUUAGCUCUUGCACUCUGUAACCCUACAAAGGAUUAGCA
rnacentral:lncRNA from 1 species